CAAACGGAGAGUUUGAUCCUGGCUCAGGAUGAACGCUGGCGGUCUGCUUAACACAUGCAAGUCGAACGGAGGUAGAAAUACCUUAGUGGCGGACGGGUGAGUAACGCGUGAGAAUCUGCCAAA
rnacentral:rRNA from 1 species